rnacentral:tRNA from 1 species
GGGGCUGUGGCUCAGUGGUAGAGCACUUGCCUGGCAUGCAUGAGGCACUGGGUUCAAUCCUCAGCACCA